rnacentral:rRNA from 1 species
CCUACGGGUGGCUGCAGUGGGGAAUUUUGGACAAUGGGGGCAACCCUGAUCCAGCAAUGCCGCGUGUGUGAAGAAGGCCUUCGGGUUGUAAAGCACUUUUGGCGGGAAAGAAACGACGCUUGCUAAUACCAGGCGUUAAUGACGGUACCCGCAGAAUAAGCACCGGCUAACUACGUGCCAGCAGCCGCGGUAAUACGUAGGGUGCGAGCGUUAAUCGGAACGACUGGGGGUGGUGCUUUAGCAGGGAGGUGAAAGCCCCGGGCUCAACCUGGGAACUGCAUUCGUGACUGCAGGGCUAGAGUGUGUCAGAGGGAGGUGGAAUUCCGCGUGUAGCAGUGAAAUGCGUAGAGAUGCGGAGGAACACCGAUGGCGAAGGCAGCCUCCUGGGAUAACACUGACGCUCAUGCACGAAAGCGUGGGGAGCAAACAGGAUUAGAUACCCUGGUAGUC